UGCAAGUCGAACGAAGGCUUCGGCCUUAGUGGCGCACGGGUGCGUAACGCGUGGGAAUCUGCCCUUGGGUUCGGAAUAACAGCGAGAAAUUGCUGCUAAUACCGGAUGAUGUCGCGAGACCAAAGAUUUAUCGCCUGAGGAUGAGCCCGCGUUGGAUUAGGUAGUUGGUGGGGUAAAGGCCUACCAAGCCGACGAUCCAUAGCUGGUCUGAGAGGAUGAUCAGCCACACUGGGACUGAGACACGGCCCAGACUCCUACGGGAGGCAGCAGUGGGGAAUAUUGGACAAUGGGCGAAAGCCUGAUCCAGCAAUGCCGCGUGAGUGAUGAAGGCCUUAGGGUUGUAAAGCUCUUUUACCCGGGAUGAUAAUGACAGUACCGGGAGAAUAAGCUCCGGCUAACUCCGUGCCAGCAGCCGCGGUAAUACGGAGGGAGCUAGCGUUGUUCGGAAUUACUGGGCGUAAAGCGCACGUAGGCGGCUUUGUAAGUCAGGGGUGAAAGCCUGGAGCUCAACUCCAGAACUGCCUUUGAGACUGCAUCGCUUGAAUCCGGGAGAGGUGAGUGGAAUUCCGAGUGUAGAGGUGAAAUUCGUAGAUAUUCGGAAGAACACCAGUGGCGAAGGCGGCUCACUG
rnacentral:rRNA from 1 species